CUGGGCUUGACAUGCAUCUCUAAGCGCGUGAAAGCGCGUGACCCUUCGGGGGAUUUGCACAGGUGCUGCAUGGCCGUCGUCAGCUCGUGUCGUGAGAUGUUGGGUUAAGUCCCGCAACGAGCGCAACCCUUGUGACUAGUUGCCAGCGCGUCAUGGCGGGAACUCUAGUCAGACUGCCCAGAUCAACUGGGAGGAAGGUGGGGACGACGUCAGGUCAGUAUGGCCCUUACGCCCAGGGCUGCACACGUACUACAAUGCCCAGCACAAUGAGAACCGAGACCGCGAGGUGGAGGAAAUCUGUAAAACUGGGCCCAGUUCGGAUUGGAGGCUGCAACCCGCCUCCAUGAAGUUGGAAUCGCUAGUAAUGGCGCAUCAGCUACGGCGCCGUGAAUACGUUCCC
rnacentral:rRNA from 1 species